rnacentral:tRNA from 1 species
CAGAGAGUAGUUUAUUUAGAAUUCCAGCUUUGGGAGUUGGGGGUGGGAGUUAAAAUCUCUUCUCUUUGG